UUUAGGGAGACCUACACCCCUCAGAAAUCGAAAAGCAUACAGUUAUAUAGAUACUGAGUUGGUCUAACCUAGGUCGGUCGCAGAUAUUUGCAAAAUGUUGAACGCUUUCAAACUAUGAUGAAGGUUCGAUAUGGGCUAUUAGCUCAGGUGGUUAGAGCGCACCCCUGAUAAGGGUGAGGUCCCUGGUUCGAGUCCAGGAUGGCCCACCUGAAUCAAUUAAAAAUGUAGAAUUAGAAAUUAAAAACUUAAUUUUUAAUUUUUAAUUAUCAAUUUUUAAUUGUAUCUGGGGGUUUAGCUCAGUUGGUAGAGCGCCUGCUUUGCAAGCAGGAUGUCAGCGGUUCGAGUCCGCUAACCUCCACCUGUGGCGAUUGCCAUUGAUAAAAUAAAAAUAUUGAGAAAUCAGCAACAUGACUUAAUUGAAGUCAGACUGCUGAGUUGAAUCUCAGCCAGAACCUUGAAAACUGCAUAGUAACGCGAAAUUAGCAGGCAGACACAGACAUUGUUUAUGGAUGUUGUAGUGAAUGCAAAAUGUGAAACACCAAAUGAAUUGAGU
rnacentral:tRNA from 1 species